rnacentral:rRNA from 1 species
GACGAACUGUGCAAACGUUAUUCGGAAUCACUGGGCUUGAAGAGUGCGUAGGCGGUUUCGUAAGUAGGGUGUGAAAGCCCCCAGCUCAACUGGGGAACUGCGUCCUAAACUGCGAGGCUGGAGUGAGGUAGGGGUGUGCGGAACUUCCGGUGGAGCGGUGAAAUGCGUAGAUAUGCGGAGGAACACCGAUGGCGAAGGCAGCCCCCUGGGUCAACACUGACGCUCAUGCACGAAAGCGUGGGGAGCAAACAGG